UCUCUCUCUCUCUCUCUCUCUCUCUCUCUCUCACCUAUAAACACCGCCGCCUCUCUUUCCUCUCUCCGCUUCGUGUUUUAAAGUUUUGUUACCGGAAGAAGUGGUUGUGGAUCGGGUCCGAUCGGCUCAGAUCGAACAAAAUCAAAUGGCUGUGAGUAUGGUGUCGCCGGGGUUUAAGCCGCGGCCGGGGUUUAAGCCGCUGCUGACGUUUAAGCGGCCGCCGGGGUUUAAGCCGCCGCCGAUCGAUAUCAAGAAGUCAAAAGUGGCGAGGCUCAUUAAAGCGGAGUUGAAGGAGAUGCAAUCCAAUCCCUCCAACGAUUUCAAGUGCCUCGCGCUCGAGGAUAACCCAUAUGACUGGCAAUUUGCAAUCAGAGGCCUUAAUGGAACUGAAUUCGAGGGUGGAAUUUAUCAUGGCCAGAUGCAGUUUCCGGUGGAAUACCCAAACCAACAUCCUAUAUUCACGUUGUUGACGGAAAAUGGUCUCUUCAAAACUCACACCGGGAUCAAUUUGAACCAUAAUUUUGGGGAGCCAUUCACUGUGCGACGUGCUUUACUUGAACUUAUUGAUUUAUUGCACACCCACCCAAAUGGUGCAUUGGGUUCAGUACUAGAAGUAGAACACAAUAAGGAAGUAAGGCGUGCCCUGGCCAUCAAAUCUCGUGCAGCAGCUCCAAAAUAUGGCACUACUGAACGUCAGAAGUUAAUUGAUGAGAUUCAUGAAUAUAUGCUCAGCAAGGAAUCCCCUCUUCCUUCAAACAGGGGAGGGGAUAUCCGGGUGAGUUCCCAAACUGAUCGAGACAGUAGAAAGUGGGCAGGAUUUCCAGUGGUGACGACGAUCAUUCAACAGGAGUUGGAGGAGAUGCAAUCCAAUCCCUCUGACGAUUUCAAGUGCCUCGCGCUCACGGGGAACCCAUAUGACUGGCAAUUUGCAAUCAAAGGCCCUAAUGGAACUGAUUUCGAGGGUGGAAUUUAUCAUGGCCGGAUCCAGUUUCCGGUGGAAUACCCAAACCAGCAUCCUAUAUUCACGUUGUUGACGGAAAAUGGUCGCUUCAAAACCCAAACCGAGAUCAAUUUGAACCAUAAUUUUGGGGAGCCAUUCACUGUGCGAAGUACUUUACUUAAACUUAUUGAGUUAUUGCCCACCUACCCAAAUGGUGCAUUGGUUUCAGUAGAAUACGAUAAGAAAGAAAGGCAUGCCCUGGCCGUCAAAUCUCGUGAAGCAGCCCCAAGAUAUGGGACUGCUGAACGACAGAAGUUAAUUGAUAAGAUUCAUGAAUAUAUGCUAAGCAAGGUACCCCAUGUUCCUUCAAACGGGGGAGGGGAUAUCCGGGUGAGUUCCCAAAAUGAUCGAGACAGAAGACAGCAGGACAUAGUUACCCAAAAAAGAAAAAGAAAGCAGGGCAACUUUUUCUUUUUUUGGAAUACAAUUAAUGCUGACAACUGCAAGCGGGCAGGAUUUUUCGAUUUUGGGAAGAAGCUCAAAAGCCUAUGGUGAUGGUAAAGUUCGUUGUCAUUAUAAAUUUACUUUUAAUAAUUAUUUUGUGAUUAUAAAUUUCGUUGUCAACAUGUGAGAGGAGAUAGUGACAAAUCCCCUUUUCUUUUCCAUGCUUGAGAGAUAGUAUAAUAUUGCUUGUAUCUAAAAAGAAAGCUGGUAGGAAGUAGGAAUUUGAGAAUUUGAGAAUAACUGCUCCAAGAAAGCAAAACAAGUCGUCUCCAGUAGAGAAACCAGCUCGACUUCCAGAGAAGACAACCAAGAGUGAUGAACUGAGGAGCCCAACACGUGUUUGCUAAUUGUUUUAAGCUCAAAAUUGUGAAUGUGUUUUCCACAGUGCUUACGUACAAAUAAUCUUCCUAUGUCCUUUCCCCUCCCCGAUAAUCUUUCAAAUUCAAAUAGAGAAAUUAUUGGUACUUGGCACCCGAAACCAGCUCGACUUCCAGAGAAGACAGCCAAGAGUGAUGAACUGAUCGGUGAUCUGAAGUGUAGCCCCCUUUUUAUUUUUUUUACAGGCAUGCUGCCGAUUUAGGAUUGUUACCACCACAAUGAUUCGUGGUGUAAAAGUUUCAAAAAUCCUCGAUUUUGCAGGUUUAGUUGGUUUGGGCUUGACCCCAAUGUUAGUUUUUUCCAAAAAGCUAAAUAGCAGUUUUUAAAGCAGGCCAGCCAUAAAGCCAUUUCGUUUUACA